UACGGGGGGGGCAAGCGUUGUUCGGAAUUACUGGGCGUAAAGGGCUCGUAGGCGGCCAACUAAGUCGGGAUGUGAAAUCCCCAGGCUCAACUUGGGAACUGCAUCCGAUACUGGAUGGCUUGAAUUCGGGAGAGGGAUGCAGAAUUCCAGGUGUAGCGGUGAAAUGCGUAGAUAUCGGAAGGAACACCUGUGGCGAAAGCGGCUCACUGGACCAUUACUGACGCUGAGGCACGAAAGCUAGGGGAGCAAACAGG
rnacentral:rRNA from 1 species